AACGCGAAGAACCUUACCAGGUCUUGACAUCCCCCUGAAUCACCUAGAGAUAGGUGCGGCCUUCGGGACAGGGGAGACAGGUGGUGCAUGGUUGUCGUCAGCUCGUGUCGUGAGAUGUUGGGUUAAGUCCCGCAACGAGCGCAACCCUUGAAUUUAGUUGCCAGCACUAUGGGUGGGCACUCUAAAUUGACUGCCGGUGACAAACCGGAGGAAGGCGGGGAUGACGUCAAAUCAUCAUGCCCCUUAUGACCUGGGCUACACACGUACUACAAUGGCCGGUACAACGGGCCGCGAAGCCGCGAGGCGGAGCCAAUCCUAAAAAGCCGGUCUCAGUUCGGAUUGCAGGCUGCAACUCGCCUGCAUGAAGUCGGAAUUGCUAGUAAUCGCGGAUCAGCAUGCCGCGGUGAAUACGUUCCCGGGCCUUGUA
rnacentral:rRNA from 1 species